UUGACCUCGGAUCAGGUAGGGAUACCCGCUGAACUUAAGCAUAUCAAUAAGCGGAGGAAAAGAACCAACAGGGAUUGCCCCAGUAACGGCGAGUGAAGCGGCAAGAGCUCAAAUUUGAAAGCUGGCUCCUUCGGGGUCCGCAUUGUAAUUUGCAGAGGAUGCUUCGGGAGCGGUCCCCAUCUAAGUGCCCUGGAACGGGACGUCAUAGAGGGUGAGAAUCCCGUAUGGGAUGGGGUGUCCGCGCCCGUGUGAAGCUCCUUCGACGAGUCGAGUUGUUUGGGAAUGCAGCUCUAAAUGGGUGGUAAAUUUCAUCUAAAGCUAAAUAUUGGCCGGAGACCGAUAGCGCACAAGUAGAGUGAUCGAAAGAUGAAAAGCACUUUGAAAAGAGAGUUAAAAAGCACGUGAAAUUGUUGAAAGGGAAGCGCUUGCGACCAGACUCGCUCGCGGGGUUCAACCGGCAUUCGUGCCGGUGUACUUCCCCGCGGGCGGGCCAGCGUCGGUUUGGGCGGUCGGUCAAAGGCCCUCGGAAGGUAACGCCCCCAGGGGCGUCUUAUAGCCGAGGGUGCAAUGCGACCUGCCUAGACCGAGGAACGCGCUUCGGCUCGGACGCUGCAUAAUGGUCGUAAGCGACCCGUCUUGAACACGGGCCCA
rnacentral:rRNA from 1 species